rnacentral:rRNA from 1 species
UCUGGCUCAGGAUGAACGCUAGCGGCAGGCUUAACACAUGCAAGUCGAGGGGCAGCGCGGGGCGGCAACGUCCUGGCGGCGACCGGCGGAAGGGUGCGUAACGCGUGAGCGACAUGCCCGUUGCCCGGGGACAACCGGUGGAAACGCCGACUAAUCCCCGAUGGGACGGAGGCCCUCAUGGGUCUCUGUUGAAAGUUACGGCGGCGACGGAUUGGCUCGCGUCCGAUUAGCUUGUUGGCGGGGUAACGGCCCACCAAGGCUACGAUCGGUAGGGGUUCUGAGAGGAAGGUCCCCCACAAUGGAACUGAGACACGGUCCAUACUCCUACGGGAGGCAGCAGUGAGGAAUAUUGGUCAAUGGGCGGAAGCCUGAACCAGCCAUGCCGCGUGCGGGAAGGAGGCCCUAUGGGCUGUGAACCGCUUUUGCCUGGGGGCAAUAAGGGCGUCGUGCACGUCCGAUGAGAGUACCAGGCGAAUAAGCAUCGGCUAACUCCGUGCCAGCAGCCGCGGUAAUACGGGGGAUGCGAGCGUUAUCCGGAUUCAUUGGGUUUAAAGGGUGCGUAGGCUGUGCGUCAAGUCAGGGGUGAAAUUCCGGGGCUCAACUCCGGGGCUGCCCUUGAUACUGUCGCGCUGGAGUGCGGAUGCCGCCGGAGGAAUGAGUGGUGUAGCGGUGAAAUGCUUAGAUAUCACUCAGAACACCGAUUGCGAAGGCAUCUGGCGAAUCCGUAACUGACGCUGAGGCACGAAAGCGUGGGGAUAGAACAGGAUUAGAUACCCUGGUAUUCCACGCCGUAAACGAUGAUGGCUAACCGCCGGCGACACACUGUCGGUGGCCAAGCGAAAGCGAUAAGCCAUCCACCUGGGGAGUACGUCGGCAACGAUGCAACUCAAAUGAAUUGACGG